AUUCUUCUUCUUCUUUUUGACGU
rnacentral:sRNA from 1 species